rnacentral:rRNA from 1 species
CCUACGGGGGGCUGCAGUGGGGAAUAUUGGACAAUGGGGGGAACCCUGAUCCAGCCAUGCCGCGUGUGUGAAGAAGGCCCUCGGGUUGUAAAGCACUUUCAGUGAGGAAGAACGCCUGGUGGUUAAUACCCAUCAGGAAAGACAUCACUCACAGAAGAAGCACCGGCUCAACUCCGUGCCAGCAGCCGCGGUAAUACGGAGGGUGCGAGCGUUAAUCGGAAUUACUGGGCGUAAAGCGCGCGUAGGUGGCUUGAUAAGCCGGUUGUGAAAGCCCCGGGCUCAACCUGGGAACGGCAUCCGGAACUGUCAAGCUAGAGUGCAGGAGAGGAAGGUAGAAUUCCCGGUGUAGCGGUGAAAUGCGUAGAGAUCGGGAGGAAUACCAGUGGCGAAGGCGGCCUUCUGGACUGACACUGACACUGAGGUGCGAAAGCGUGGGUAGCAAACAGGAUUAGAUACCCGAGUAGUC